GGUUAGCUUCUGUGCACCAAGUGUUCGAUAAAUUGCCUCAGUUGGAUUUUUGUUACAUCACUUGAGGUUGAAGAUCCCAAAAUCUACAACUCACUGGCAGUGUGAGGCUUCCACAAACUCGCCUCUCUUACAACACUCAGGACUAGUAAAUACCCAAAUGCAGUCUCUUUUCCAGGGGAAGAGAUGAAGUUGCCAACUUCUCCAACUUCUAUGAAAAUUGAAAGCUUCACAGAAUUGAAAUACCUAUCUCCCAAGGUUUUCCAAAAUCUCACCUCUAUUGAAGGGUUGUCAAUCUAUGGUUGCCCAAAUCUUACAUCCUUACCAGACCUUCCAUCCUCGCUUCUGCGACUAUAUAUUGGACGUUCUCCUUUGCUGAAACAACGAUGCAAAAGGAAUGAAGGACAGGAGUAUUAAGAUUGAUUGAAGGUUCACUUUUAGAAACUGUGGAAAUGGCUGGAUCGGUCAAUCACCUCACUUCAUUCUUAUGGGCUAUUCAGGAACCAACUGAAAAGUAUGAACUCUGGGAUGCAAUAUGCCAACAUGUCAAUGGCAAUGCUAAUAGCAGAGCUCACCUCAUGGACAUAAAACUUAAAUUAAAUUUUUGCAAGGCUACUUUUCAUUCAUCUUGCCAAUAACAUAAUAUGAUAACUACAUGUUGGUGAUUGGACUUAAAAAGAAAGUCGUGAUUGCAGAGGUAAUGUCCUGUUUCUUCUGAUGCCUUUUCAUUCAAUCAGUGGCCUGAACUCUUUUGGCAUUGAACUGAUACCGAGGUUUUGUUAAAACAAGGAGCUCAAUUUACAGUUGGAAGGAAAUGGUACACUAUGCUUUGUGGAGCUCCAGCUGAUUUUAUCCCAAUACAGGCAGAAGCAGCAGAGACUAUGCUUGGAGAACAAAUUUUUAGAGUUAUUUAGAGAGUUUGAAUCCAAAAGUCAUGUGUCACAAGUGUAGUCAGAACAACUAUUAUCAUAUUUUGCCAAUUCUUGGAGUUCUUCCUGAGGUGUGAGUGCAGAAAUGUUGGGAUCUUGGUUGCAGAAGAGGUCUCAGAAUGUUGAUUUUUGGUGCAUUGUGGCUCAAAUAUGCCAAUUUUUUCGUUAAGAGCAAUACUAUCUCUCAUUUUGUAACUUUUCUAC